rnacentral:tRNA from 1 species
GGGGCCGUAGCUCAGCUGGGAGAGCGUUUGACUGGCAGUCAAAAGGCCACGGGUUCGAGUCCCGUCGGCUCCA